rnacentral:rRNA from 1 species
UGGGGAAUCUUGCACAAUGGGGGAAACCCUGAUGCAGCGACGCCGCGUGAGCGAAGAAGGCUUUCGAGUCGUAAAGCUCUGUCCUAUGAGAAGAUAAUGACGGUAUCAUAGGAGGAAGCCCUGGCUAAAUACGUGCCAGCAGCCGCGGUAAUACGUAUGGGGCGAGCGUUGUCCGGAAUUAUUGGGCGUAAAGGGUACGUAGGCGGUUUUUUAAGUCAGGUGUCAAAGCGUGGAGCUUAACUCCAUUAAGCACUUGAAACUGAAAGACUUGAGUGAAGGAGAGGAAAGUGGAAUUCCUAGUGUAGCGGUGAAAUGCGUAGAUAUUAGGAGGAAUACCGGUGGCGAAGGCGACUUUCUGGACUUUUACUGACGCUCAGGUACGAAAGCGUGGGGAGCAAACAGG